CCUGACUCCUUGAGAGUCCUGAAGGAACGUUGAAGACGACGACGUUGAUAGGCCGGGUGUGUAAGCGCAGCGAUGCGUUGAGCUAACCGGUACUAAUGAACCGUGAGGCUUAACCUUACAACGCCGAAGAUGUUUUG
rnacentral:rRNA from 1 species